UGGAUCCAGACUUUGAUUCUGGCUCAGGAUGAACGCUAGCUACAGGCUUAACACAUGCAAGUCGAGGGGAAACGACAUCGAAAGCUUGCUUUUGAUGGGCGUCGACCGGCGCACGGGUGAGUAACGCGUAUCCAACCUGCCCACCACUUGGGGAUAACCUUGCGAAAGUAAGACUAAUACCCAAUGAUAUCUCUAGAAGACAUCUGAAGGAGAUUAAAGAUUUAUCGGUGAUGGAUGGGGAUGCGUCUGAUUAGCUUGUUGGCGGGGUAACGGCCCACCAAGGCAACGAUCAGUAGGGGUUCUGAGAGGAAGGUCCCCCACAUUGGAACUGAGACACGGUCCAAACUCCUACGGGAGGCAGCAGUGAGGAAUAUUGGUCAAUGGACGAGAGUCUGAACCAGCCAAGUAGCGUGCAGGAUGACGGCCCUAUGGGUUGUAAACUGCUUUUAUAAGGGAAUAAAGUGAGUCUCGUGAGACUUUUUGCAUGUACCUUAUGAAUAAGGACCGGCUAAUUCCGUGCCAGCAGCCGCGGUAAUACGGAAGGUCCGGGCGUUAUCCGGAUUUAUUGGGUUUAAAGGGAGCGUAGGCCGGAGAUUAAGCGUGUUGUGAAAUGUAGACGCUCAACGUCUGCACUGCAGCGCGAACUGGUUUCCUUGAGUACGCACAAAGUGGGCGGAAUUCGUGGUGUAGCGGUGAAAUGCUUAGAUAUCACGAAGAACUCCGAUUGCGAAGGCAGCUCACUGGAGCGCAACUGACGCUGAAGCUCGAAAGUGCGGGUAUCGAACAGGAUUAGAUACCCUGGUAGUCCGCACGGUAAACGAUGGAUGCCCGCUGUUGGUCUGAAUAGGUCAGCGGCCAAGCGAAAGCAUUAAGCAUCCCACCUGGGGAGUACGCCGGCAACGGUGCAACUCAAAGGAAUUGACGGA
rnacentral:rRNA from 1 species